rnacentral:rRNA from 1 species
UACAGAGGGUGCAAGCGUUAAUCGGAAUUACUGGGCGUAAAGCGCACGCAGGCGGUUGGUUAAGUCAGAUGUGAAAGCCCCGGGCUCAACCUGGGAACUGCAUUUGUGACUGCAAGGCUAGAGUACGGCAGAGGGGGGUAGAAUUCCAAGUGUAGCGGUGAAAUGCGUAGAGAUUUGGAGGAAUACCAGUGGCGAAGGCGGCCCCCUGGCACAACACUGACGCUCAGGUGCGAAAGCGUGGGGAGCAAACAGG